rnacentral:rRNA from 1 species
CUCUUUUUGUUUAUUUAGAAAGUAUGACCUGCCCACUGACACUUGUUAAAGGGCCGCGGUAAUUUGACCGUGCAAAGGUAGCAUAAUCAUUAGUCUCUUAAUUAGAGGCUGGAAUGAAUGGUUGGACGAAACAUAAACUGUCUUAUUAUUUAUAUUAAAAUUUAAUUAUUAAGUAAGAAAGCUUAAAUUUAUUUAUGGGACGAGAAGACCCUAUAGAGUUUAAUAAUUUAUUUUGUGGUUGGGUUGUAUUUAUUAUUCUAUAAAGUUAAUUAUUUUGUUGGGGUGAUGAGGAGAUAAAUUAAACUCUUUUUAUUGUUGUAUAUUGAUUUAUAUAUUUUUGAUCCAUUUUUUGUGAUUAUAAGACUAAAUUACCUUAGGGAUAACAGCGUAAUCUUUUUUGAGAGUUCGAAUUGACAAGAAGGGUUGCGA